GUGCAGCCCAGAUGACUAGGGGGUUUGCAGGUACAGAAGGAUGGCAUAGGGCAAGAGCAGUGAAGGAAGAAUGUUUGAGGCUCUGAGUAACUGCCCAGUGAGGGCACUUAGCCCCGCCCCUUCUGGUUCACACAGUAUAAGAAGCCCAGCUGCCAGAAGGAGGCGUCUUUUGCACUCAGAAUGACCUACCGGACAGAGCUCCUUUAAUUAACCCCUUUAUUCUACAGCAAUUGUUUUACCCGGAAGGCUAUUCACACUGUCGUCAAGAGGUGUGAUUUUUGUUUGGACUGUUGUCAUUAAAUGAGGUGACCUGACCUAAAGAAGACAAUUAAACCCAUUCCUAUUAUAAACAAUAUUCCGGAGAACGAACCACUUACCACUUCCUCAUUUACAUCACUUCCGGCUCCUGGAGAUGACAUCACUCCCGGUCCCGCUCCGAUGACGUCACUUCCGGUCCCCCAGAGAUGACGUCACUUCCAGUCCCUCUCUGAUGACGUCACUUCCU